CGCGUAGGCGGCCGUUUAAGUCAGAUGUGAAAGCCCGGGGCUCAACCCCGGAAGUGCAUUUGAUACUAUUCGGCUUGAGUAUGGGAGAGGGAAGUGGAAUUCCUGUGUAGAGGUGAAAUUCGUAGAUAUCAGGAGGAACACCGGUGGCGAAGGCGACUUCCUGGACCAAUACUGACGCUGAGGCGCGAAGGCGUGGGUAGCAAACA
rnacentral:rRNA from 1 species